GCUUGUCUCAAAGAUUAAGCCAUGCAUGUCUAAGUAUAAACAACUUUAUACUGUAAAACUGCGAACGGCUCAUUAUAUCAGCAAUUAUUUAUUUGAUGGUCUCUUACUACAUGGAUAACUGUGGUAAUUCUAGAGCUAAUACAUGCGUAAAAUCCCGACUCUCGGAAGGGGUGUAUUUAUUAGAUACAAAACCAAUGCCCUUCGGGGCUCCUUGGUGAUUCAUGAUAACUAUACGAAUCGCACGGCCUUGCGCCGGCGAUGGUUCAUUCAAAUUUCUUCCCUAUCAACUUUCGAUGUUUGGGUAUUGGCCAAACAUGGUUGCAACGGGUAACGGAGGGUUAGGGCUCGACCCCGGAGAAGGAGCCUGAGAAACGGCUACUACAUCCAAGGAAGGCAGCAGG
rnacentral:rRNA from 1 species